GAUGAACGCUGGCGGCGUGCCUAAUACAUGCAAGUCGAGCGAACGGACGAGAAGCUUGCUUCUCUGAUGUUAGCGGCGGACGGGUGAGUAACACGUGGAUAACCUACCUAUAAGACUGGGAUAACUUCGGGAAACCGGAGCUAAUACCGGAUAAUAUUUUGAACCGCAUGGUUCAAAAGUGAAAGACGGUCUUGCUGUCACUUAUAGAUGGAUCCGCGCUGCAUUAGCUAGUUGGUAAGGUAACGGUUUACCAAGGCAACGAUGCAUAGCCGACCUGAGAGGGUGAUCGGCCACACUGGAACUGAGACACGGUCCAGACUCCUACGGGAGGCAGCAGUAGGGAAUCUUCCGCAAUGGGCGAAAGCCUGACGGAGCAACGCCGCGUGAGUGAUGAAGGUCUUCGGAUCGUAAAACUCUGUUAUUAGGGAAGAACAUAUGUGUAAGUAACUGUGCACAUCUUGACGGUACCUAAUCAGAAAGCCACGGCUAACUACGUG
rnacentral:rRNA from 1 species